UACUUGCCCUGCUGCUUCUGACAAACUAUUUGUAGGAAAAUGAGAUUUGGUCCGCGCUGGAUGGCUCCUCUGGGAGGCAGGCGUGGGGGUCGGGUGUCGGAGGCCCCGUGCGCCCCCCCACCCCCCACCAGAGCCCACGGCGCUCACGGAGCUCUUUAAGAUAAAUGAGCAAAAUUAAGAGACUCACUGGGGGAAGAAAACACUGGAUGGGAGCGAGCGAGAGCGGAUGGUACUUGGUUUCCUCCCAGAAAUGCAUCCACGUGCGCCCCACUGGGGCCUCCCCCAUCUGCUGCAGACUCCAGGGAACUUCCUCCCCUCAAAGACGAACUUCCAGCCCUGGAGCAUGUUUCUUCCUUUCCUGGGAUGUGGCGCUGAAAAGGGCAGAAACCUCUAGUAAGGCACAAGCAACAGAUUGGGGGUGGAGCAGCAGGUCUCUUUGGAGGUGGCCUGGAAGAAACCGGACAGAGAGGAUGGGAAGGGGAGAAACAGAAGAGUGUGACGAGAUCAUGAAGGAAAGAGGAGGCGUCUACUGAAUGUAAGGUAGAGCCAAAGGCAUCUAUUGAUGACUGAAGAAGAGGCAUGAAUAUGACAAAAACAGGAAGAGAGAAAACAUGAGAAGUCAGAAUGCUUGGAAUUUCACCUGGAUCUGCCACCAUGCAUAAUGUGAAUUUGGAAAUGCUACUUAACUUCUCCAAGACACAGCUUAUGAAUCUUUGAGCCAGAGAAAAUAA
rnacentral:lncRNA from 10 species